rnacentral:rRNA from 1 species
UACACAUGCAGUCGAGCGGAUGAAAGUAGCUUGGUACCUGAAUUUAGCGGCGGACGGGUGAGUAAUGCUUAGGAAUCUACCUAUUAAUGGGGGACAACAGUUGGAAACGGCUGCUAAUACCGCAUACGCCCUACGGGGGAAAGCAGGGGAUCUUCGGACCUUGCGUUAAUAGAUGAGCCUAAGUCAGAUUAGCUAGUUGGUGGGGUAAAGGCCUACCAAGGCGACGAUCUGUAGCGGGUCUGAGAGGAUGAUCCGCCACACUGGGACUGAGACACGGCCCAGACUCCUACGGGAGGCAGCAGUGGGGAAUAUUGGACAAUGGGGGGAACCCUGAUCCAGCCAUGCCGCGUGUGUGAAGAAGGCCUUUUGGUUGUAAAGCACUUUAAGCGAGGAGGAGGCUACCGAGAUUAAUACUCUUGGAUAGUGGACGUUACUCGCAGAAUAAGCACCGGCUAACUCUGUGCCAGCAGCCGCGGUAAUACAGAGGGUGCGAGCGUUAAUCGGAUUUACUGGGCGUAAAGCGUGCGUAGGUGGUCUUUUAAGUCG